rnacentral:rRNA from 1 species
UACAGGGGGUGCAAACGUUGCUCGGAAUCAUUGGGCGUAAAGAGCUCGUAGGCGGCUUGUCACGUCGGGUGUGAAAGCCCGGGGCUUAACCCCGGGUCUGCAUUCGAUACGGGCUAGCUAGAGUGUGGUAGGGGAGAUCGGAAUUCCUGGUGUAGCGGUGAAAUGCGCAGAUAUCAGGAGGAACACCGGUGGCGAAGGCGGAUCUCUGGGCCAUUACUGACGCUGAGGAGCGAAAGCGUGGGGAGCGAACAGG